GACGAACGCUGGCGGCGUGCCUAAUACAUGCAAGUCGAGCGCAGGAAACUGACGGAACUCUUCGGAGGGAAGGCAGUGGAAUGAGCGGCGGACGGGUGAGUAACACGUAAGGAACCUGCCUCAAGGAUUGGGAUAACUCCGAGAAAUCGGAGCUAAUACCGGAUAGUUCAUCGGACCGCAUGGUCCGUUGAUGAAAGGCGCUCCGGCGUCACCUUGAGAUGGCCUUGCGGUGCAGUAGCUAGUUGGUGGGGUAACGGCCCACCAAGACGACGAUGCAAAGGCGCCCUGGGAGGGUGAUCGCCCACACUGGGACUGAGACACGGCCCAGACUCCGAGGGGAGGCAGCAGUAGGGAAUCUUCCACAAUGGACGAAAGUCUGAUGGAGCAACGCCGCGUGGGUGAUGAAGGCUUUCGGAUCGUAAAACUCUGUUGUAAGGGAAGAACACGUACGAGAGGGAAUGCUCGUACCUUGACGGUACCUUACGAGAAAGCCACGGCUAACUACGUGCCAGCAGCCGCCGUAA
rnacentral:rRNA from 1 species